rnacentral:lncRNA from 1 species
GAGAAAGCAUCAUCAACCAAAACGACGUCGCAAGGAGGCUGACGAAGCAGCUGGUUCAGACCGAAGGCAAGCAGUCGAACCUCGUGUACUCGCCGCUGUCCAUCCACGUUGUGCUGAGCCUGAUCGCGGCCGGGUCAAAGGGUCCCACCCAGGAGCAGCUGCUGUCGUUCCUCAAGUCAAAGUCCACCGACCACCUCAACUCCUUCGCCUCCCAGCUCGUGUCCGUGAUCUUCUCCGACGGGUCCCCCGUGGGCGGCCCCAAGCUGGCGUUUGCGAAUGGGGUUUGGGUGCACAAGCCUCUCCCGCUGAAGCCUUCCUUCGAGCAGGUGGUGGACGCUUCUUACAAGGCCGCUCUUGCCCCAGUCGAUUUUCAGACCAAUGUAAGCUCCCAAACCCUCUGUCAUGUCGUAUCGAUAGUGUUUUUUUUCAAUGCUGCUCAUGAUCAAAGUCUUCAAUUUUUUUCGAUUUGAUUGGAGAUGUUUGUUCCUUUGUUGAACCUAAAUUGCAGGCCUGCUGAUGCUCUUUUAUUAUUGUAGCAUUUCAAAUAAAUAUUUCCUCUCUAAUCAUUACUGUUCGUGCUUGUUCUUCUGAAUAGCUUAGCUGUUACGAAAUCGUAUCGUAGAUUUUUUGUUCGUUACUGUUUGUGGUUGUAAUUGAUCGAGAUAUGCAGGCUGAUAUCAUUGUUUUCUAACUUGUCGUAACUGUUGUUGGUGCUCAAGGCUGCUCAAGUGGCGUCGGGAGUGAAUUCAUGGGCUGAAAAGGAGACGAGCGGCCUUAUCAAGGAUCUACUUCCUCCCGGGUCACUUGACAGCUCAACCAGGCUCAUCUUUACGAAUGCAUUGUACUUCAAGGGAGCUUGGAAUGAGAAAUUUGAUGCAUCAGCUACAAAAGAGCAUGACUUCCACCUUCUCGACGGGAGCACAGUUAAGGCGCCCUUCAUGACCAGCAAGAACAAGCAGUAUGUAAGUGCCUUUGACGGUUUCUCAGUCUUAGGGCUUCCUUACAGACAAGGUGAAGACAAGCGGCGCUUCUCCAUGCACAUCUUUCUUCCACAGGCGAAAGAUGGGCUGCCAGCUUUGGUUGAGAAACUUGGCUCUGAGUCCGGGUUUUUAGAUCGCUAUCUUCCCAAACAACCAGUUGCAGUGGGCGACUUCAGAAUCCCAAAGUUUAAGAUCUCAUUUGGGUUUGAAGCUUCCAAUGUCCUAAAGAGUCUGGGACUGGUGCUGCCUUUCGAGGGUGAAGGAGGUCUGACAGAGAUGGUGGACUCGCCCGAGGGUAAGAAGCUAUAUGUUUCUAGCAUAUUCCACAAGUCGUUCAUCGAAGUGAAUGAAGAAGGCACAGAAGCUGCAGCUGCUUCUGCCGGCGUUAUAAGUGAGAGGAGGAUGCCCAUGACAUUUGUGGCUGAUCGUCCAUUCCUCUUCACGAUCAGGGAAGAAACGACCGGAACAGUUCUGUUCAUCGGUAACCUGCUCAACCCUCUUGCCGGCUGAGUGUUACAACCCCCUGGGAAAGGGCAUCAGAUGUACGUAGAAUAAUACGCGCGAGACUGUAGUAAAUAAAAUGUAUGAUCCUUGUAUACAUGUACUAUGUUUGGUUAUUACCUAAUCACCCUGUACUUGCAGCAGUUGGUCUUGUUUCUCCCAUGUGGCGAUUUUUGUUUGUUCUCCCAUGGCGUUUAUCCAUGUGUAGAAUCUUGAUUCUGAAUACUUAUUUUAUGAUGUACUCUGUUUGAACAAUAAAAGUUUUAGCCGACUGCAAACGUCGGUUAGUGUUAAAGUAUUUAAUAUAUAGAAUGGACGAGUGCUAGUGUUGUACCAUACACAUGGUUGGUGAUGAAAAAGAUUAAACUUUGAAUAUUCUAUAAAAUAUUAUUUAACUUGGGACGAGGAUCUUCUUUGUGAGGAUCUUAUGAAUUAAUUUAUCUUAACGGUUCAUUGUACAUCGUGUGACCAUCUUUCAUUAGAUACUUUUUGUGUUAAAUUUUAAAUAAAUUCAAAAUAAUUUUUGGCUGCAGGAUGAUUGAUAAACAGAUAUGAUGCAUUGAUUCCUAAAGUCCUCACAAAGAGAAUCCGGAUGUUUAUAGUCCUCCAUGACUGGAGAUGGCCUAAGAUGCUAAACACUUAACACUACCCAAUUUUUCCAGUUAGUUAAAUUUUCACAAUUAGUGUAUUAAAUUGCUUAAGAAAUGUUAUCAGCACUCUAAAAUAAUUGACCAUAUUUUCUUGACUCUUUUGUUAAAUUGCAUGAAGAUUUUUUUGGAUAGUCAAUAAUAUCUCCCAAUUGCUUAACAUAGAAUUAAAUAGAGUAUCGCUAACUAGAGCAUGAUAUGUUUCUGUGUCUUUGAUGCCCUUUGCUCGAGAAAAUUUAGUAUAGGGUUUUCAUCACAAAUGGUCCCUGACAUUGAUCAAACACAUCAUUUUGGUCCCUGACAUUGAAAAUCAAUAGAAAUGGUCCCUGACAUUGAUCAAACACAUCAUUUUGGUCCCUGACAUUGAAAAUCAAUAGAAAUGGUCCCUGACAUUGAUCAAACACAUCACAAAUAGUCCUUCCGUUAAAAACGUUUUGGGCAAUUUUCAAAGCUUUGUAACUCAAUCGUUUCUUAACCAAAUUCGACCCAUAAUAUAUCAAAAUGAAGAUAGGAAAGUGUAGAACAAGAUUAUACCUAUUUGGAAACCCAAUGGUUGCCGGAGAUGGCCGGAAAACAGCCUCAAAUGUGACUGGUCCGCGAAAAAACUGGAAAACUCGCCUGAAAUGGGGUAAACUUUAAACAUUCAUAACUUCUUCAAUAAUCAACGAAAUCGAGUGAUUCAAAAAUGAAAAUCAUACUUCUCGACGAGACUAAGAGAAUGGUAGCUUUCUUGAUGGCUAACUCAUUGUAGUUUGGCCGGAAAAUGACUCGAAAUUGGCUAACUCGAAAAUGGUUAUCCAAGUUCGAGCCAUUUUCCGGUCAAACCACGGUAAAUUAGUAGUCAAUAAAGAUACCAUUAUCUUUCUCUCAUUGAGAAGUAUGAUUUUCAUUUUUGAAUCACUCAAUUUCAUUGAGUAUUGAAGAAGUUAUGAAUGUUUAAAGUUUACCCCAUUUCAGGCGAGUUUUUCAGUUUUUUCGCGGACCAGUCACAUUUGAGGCUGUUUUCCGGCCAUCUCCGGCAACCAUUGGGUUUCUAAAUAGGUAUAAUCUUGUUCUACACUUUCCUAUCUUCAUUUUGAUAUAUCAUGGGUCGAAUUUGGUUAAGAAACGAUUGAGUUACGAAGCUUUGAAAAUUGCCCAAAACGUUUUUAACGGAAGGACCAUUUGUGAUGUGUUUGAUCAAUGUCAGGGACCAUUUCUAUUGAUUUUCAAUGUCAGGGACCAAAAUGAUGUGUUUGAUCAAUGUCAGGGAUCAUUUGUGAUGAAAACCCUUUAGUAUAUGAACGACAAACUACGUGUUAUUACGGCCACAGACGAUAAUCCAGACUAUUUGUUUAAUACUUAAGCUUACUUGUGGUCCCAUUAUGUAAAAAAAUUUUGCAUUAGUCUGCACACAAGAAAUUUUUUAUUGGUUUCAGUUGAGCUCAAAUAAUAAUAAUCUGUUCGUGUAAAAGUUAAAAUUUAUCUUAUUAUGUAAUUGAUUUAAAAUACCGUAAAUACUGAUUUAAAAUUAUCUCAUUGUCAGCUUGUGUGUCAUUCUCGUAGAAUUUGGAAUUAUUCACAUUGUUUAGUAACGUAGGAUAUUUCAAGAAGCAUUUUUGCUCACUAUCAUUUAGUGUAAUGUAUAUUCAUCAUUCUAUUUAUCAUCGUUAGAUGAGUUUGAAUUUUAAGAUCCGUGUAGUGGAUAGACACAAAUUUCAAAAUUCAAUCUCAUCUAACGAUAAUAAAUAUGAUGAUGAACAUAAAUCAAAUAAAUGAUGAUGAAAAAAAAUACAUAGAUAUUUCAGUACAUGAAAACGUCACGUUAAUGAAAGGAGCUGGAGCGCCUGCUGCUGACCUCGGUCAAACAGACGGUGUGGGUUUCACGUGGCUGGCGCGAAAUCUAAACCGUUAAUUUAAUGUUAGUUAUCUCUCCCCUUGUCACGACUCCCAUGUAAUGCUGUAAAGUCACAAGCACCCAUCGUUUGGUUCUAAUAUUACAACAGUACCGCCCAUGGAAACACAAUCUUAAGCAAUCUCUAAUACUCAUAAUGUUGUUGAAGUUUUGCACUAAUAAUAGUUGCUAAACAGUGAUUAGACAGUCAGAUAAGAGACAGGGUUUAUGAUGUGAUUUGGACGUCCCAUCCUUUGCCACUUAAAAUGUCUUACCUACCAAACAUAUCUUGAAAAAUAAUUUAGCUUGGUACGAAGAAUCACAAUUUUUGUUUAUAAUUGACGAAAUCAAUCAAUGCAUGUUUUUUAUCAAAUCAAUAUUUAUUGGGAUAUUCAUCCUUAAAAUCUUCAUUUUGUUAUAAAACAACAAUAUAUUUAUUAUUUUUAAAAUUUUGUAAUACGUUUAUUUAAGUAGUGACUUUGAACGUUUUAAAAUUGAAAAAUCAAUAUUUAAAUGCAAAGUUGUCCGUUUUGAAUAAUCUCUAACAAUAUUUUCCUUCUCGUAAAUGAGUAAGAUUGGUUUAUUUUGUACACAAUUAGAUAUUGAGAGUUGAAAUUCUAAAUACUAAGUUCUUCUUAACAUAUUUUCGUAACCAUUUAAGAUGUUUGUAUAUUCGAAGAAUAUGGAAAAAUUGAAUCAACCCAGAUUAUUAUUAUGGCUGUCGACAUCUUUUAUCAGAGGAUAGCCAUCAAGUCACACCGCAUAUCCAGAAAGAGAAAUCCAUCCAAAAAAUAGGAAAACGAAAUGACAUUCCUUAUUUUCCUCCAUGGACGUCCCUUCUCUCCCCACCACGAAGGUCCCAGCUGAAAAGAAACGGAUGGCACAAUCGUGAUUAUCACAAACAGGAAUGUCAAAUUGUAGCAAGAGCAUGGUCAGCGCCGUUACAAAUAAGUGGAAGUUCCUCGGAAGAGUAAGAGAACGCGACAAUCAUAACGUAAUCUAUCUCUUCACUUUCUCAAUCCUUUUCUAUCUUUUUUUUCUUUCUGGGUUCCUUGUACUUCUCAUAAAUAUUAAGAGUUUAAUUCAAAAGAAAGGAACUUUCUCUUUCAUUGCUUACAUUUUUUUUUUCAGAUUAUUUACUUUCCCUUCCUUGCAGUUGCUUGGAAGAAACCAAGCUCAGAAGACCUUUGUUUUUUGAGAAUUCAGUUCAAUCCGUUUAUAUAUAUAUAUAUAUAUGGUGUUGAUGAUUUACCAGAAGUGAUAGUGCUUCAACCGAGAAGAAGAAGCUUUUAGUCUUCAGAAAUUCAGAGAAAAGAUAAGGAAGUGGAAGAGUGAAGGAAAAGCAAAUCAAAAGAUGGGAGAAACUGCUCCUCAUCCUCCACCACAGGUGGUUGCUCGGCCGUCUCAGAUGCCUCUUGGGGCAGCGAAGGGUCCCCAUUUGGACUCCAACUGAGCAGCUCCACAACCUUCAGUAUUGCAUCCACUCCAACCCCUCUUAGCGUUAGUCUCUCUCUGUUUCUGUUAAUUUCUUCGUUCUGGGUUUUAUAUUUUUUGAGUAAAAAGCUGAUUAAAGUUGUGCUAUUUUAAUGGGUUGGUUUAAAAGUUGAAGCUUUUGGCACUACUUCUUAUUUAGUUUACUAGUUUGCUUUUUAUUCCUAAUUUUGCAAAUUACUUUUACUAUUUUUGUUUCGGAUUCUCUAAUUUAUUGUGUUCGAAUCUUUUUAAGUACUGUAAUUAGUUCUAAUAAAAUAAUAAGCAUAUGUUCCAUUACCAGUUUCAACUUAUCCUGCUUACAAGACAUCGAUAUCACUCGAAAAUGUUUAGGAAGUGUAAACGUAAAUUUCCCAUGUUUAUCAAAUGCAACAAACUGCUUCUAAUGGAUCGAAUUUUACAGCGGAAACAUUCGUACUCGCUUUUCAGCACUAUAUUGUGAUGCUCGGAUCCAUAGUUAUAAUUGCCACUAGUUUCGUGCCUCGGAUGGGUGGGGAUCAUGUAAGUUAUGUCCUCUAUACAGUAAAGUUUAUAAUAUGCCGGUUAAGAUUAGCGAUCACACACGUAGCUUUGAAUCCGUGAUGUUAAUGUUUGGGUUUUGUUCUCCCUUUGUGAUCAGGGUGACAAGGCACGCGUGAUUCAGACGAUGCUGUUUAUGGCAGCAAUAAACACUUUGAUCCAAACAUUCACGGGACAAGGCUUCCAACAGUGAUGACUUCGUCAUUCGCUUUUACCCUUCCGGUGAUGUCAAUCAUCAAUGAUUAUUCUGAUCGGAAUUUUAGAAGUGAACAUGAGGUAUGUAAAGUUUGAAACAUGUUAUUCAUAGAGGAUUUAACAUCACAUUAAUUUACUUCUUAAAUUGCUUUAAGAAAUUUCAGUUAUAGACUUUGAGAUGAAAAAUACGUGGUGCAAAAAACGUGUAAACCUUACAUACCUGUAGAAGACGUCAUGAUGAAUUUCUGGUUUUGAGGACGGAAUAGAUUGAAGCACGUCCAUGCACUGUUGCGUCAUAUGCAACAAACUGAUGGGGAGUUCUAGGGUUGUGGCAUUAGCAAUGUGACAGGGACCUCAAACUUACAUAGGCCUCACGUCCCUAGAACCCUACCCACUAAUGGAGACUAGAAACUCUUAUGAUCCUCUAACGAGAAUAAUAAAGCCAAUGGAAAUGUUAGCACACAAUUGUUGUACAUAUAACAGACUUCGAGCAAUUUUUGGAACACGUAAAACAUUGUUAAGAAUAAGAUCAUGAGUAUUGGUUUUAAUGGUUGUUGCAUCAAUAUUCUUAAUGGAUAAACCUGUUCCAUUUCCAACUGUGAUUUUAUCAAAACCUUGGAAUGGUGUAACUUGAUUCAAUGUGGUGGCAUCAGCAGUGAUAUGAUGAGAUGCACCAGUAUCAACAAUCCAUGCAUCAUGAGGAAUAUAUUGUUCUAUCUGCUGUGUUGCCAUAGCUGUUAAGUUUGCAGGUGGUUGUUGGCCUUGAAAAACAUAAUUCCCUUUGUGAUAACAUUCAAGAGCUGAGUGACCUUUUUUUCCCACAAAUCUGACACUCCAUUUGAAAUCUAGUAUUUGGUGUAGUAGCAUUUCUGUGAAAACAAUUGACUGCAGUAUGCCCUUUCUUGUUGCAGAUUUGGCACUCAAUCACUGUUGUUGACCUGCUCUCUGUGUUUCCAUUCCACACAUUUGAACCAUUUGACCUUGAAUUGCCAUACGAAAAAUCAGAAGAGUUUCCUAUGUUGUAACCCUUGCUUUUGAAUCCACCAUUUGUCUUGUAAUUAUUGUUACCCUUGUAGUUUGAACCACCAAAAGGUUUCUGCAUGAAAUGAGGUAUUGGACCAGAAUUUGAUGCAUUAGCCAUAAACCCAAAACCAUAGGGAACUUGAGGAUAAACUGGACCAGGAAAUUGCGGAGACAUAGGAGGUUGAGGCAUAUGAGGUUGCUGUGGAUAUUGUUGUGGCAAGACAAAUGGCUGUGGUUAUUGUGGCUGUGGAUAUUGUUGUGGAUAUUGCUGUGGUAAAACAAAUGGCUCAGCAGAAUAUGGAUAUGGAUUAGGAGUUAUAACACCACCAGUGGUUGCAGGUAAAUGACUAUGCCCUGCAGGAUUAGACCCUGAAGCAAAUGAAUUUCCCUGAGUUGACUAAGAACCCUAAACAUAUAAGGCAGAUAGACUUUGAGACCCAACACUUGUGUCUCAUUCAAUCUCUUUUUCAGCUCUAAAUUUUUUCAAGGAAAUGGAUGAUUCUUUGCCAUAUAUCACAGUUCGAAUAGUUGCAUACUCCUUCGGCAAACCAGCUAAACCAGCAAUUAUAACAUCAUUAUCAGAAAUGAACUCUCCAGUAGCAGUUAAUUGUUCUCUUAUACUCUUCAAUCUUAACAGAUAUUUAUCCAUCAAAUCUCCUCAUUUUUGAAUGGUGUACAACUCAAUUUUUAAAUGAUUUACCCUAGUUUUAGACACUGAAGCAAAUCUAUCCACAAGAUUCGACCAAGCCUCACAAGCAGUUAAACAUCCAAGAACAUAUUUAAUAGCCUCAUCAAACAAAGUAGCUAGUAAAAGACUUAGUAAUGGAUAUGUGGAUUCCCAUUCAACAUAUUCAGCAAGUUCAGAAGUAACUCCUCUCUUAGUAUCUAUUACAAAUUUUUGUGGACAACCAAUAGUGCCAUCAAAAUGCCCAAACAAUUUAUGACCUUUCAACACAUAUUUGAACUGAAAAGCCCAUUUCACAAAAUUAUCAUCCUUCAACUUUAUUGUGAUCAUUCCCAGUUUCAACUUUAACACUUGAAGUAGUCAUGAUUUCUUGAUCGAACACAUAGAAUUUGCAAAUAACAAACAAACACCCAAAAAUUUCUGAUAUACGUAUUGAAAGGAAAGACUGAAACUUUCUCACAACCCAAGCAAGACUGAAACUCGCUUAAUACUCAGGAAAAACUGAAACUUUCUUGAUGAAUCUUGCACACAAAUACAACACACAAUUCCAAUUCGGAAAAGAAAACACAAAAUCUUCUAAUCAGGACUGAAACCCAAUUACUCAACAGAAAUUCACACUAUCACUUGAAUUGCAGCUGUGAUUGCAGCCACAAAUAGCCAGAAUACCAACCGCCAGAAAGAACAACAAGGAUCUGCAAUCGCCAGAACUUUUGAACAAACCCGUUGAAAAGACCUUUCAGAAUCCUUGAACUGGAUAGCAGCGAAAGAACUAGGAUCGAAAACGGUAGUGAACCAUGGUCAGCGAUGAUACCAUAUUAACAGUGUUGAAUUGUGGCCAAGUGGCCAUCACCUUUCGGCUAAUAAACAAACAAAGAAAAGAAAAAGAAAGACAAAAUGAUGAGGAAACAUCAUGAUGAGGAGGCAUCAUGAUUAUGCUUUCUUGUAGUUUUUUAAUAACCAUAAUUAUUGUUUUUGUUUCGGGUAGAAGAGAAGAAAGGGAGAGCUCAUUUUUUAGAAGAAAGCAUAUUAAAGAGAGAAGAGGAGAGAGAGAAGGUAGAGCCUUUUGGUUAUAAAAGGCAUUCGAUUAUGCCUUUGGAUGUGGGAGGGGGGGGAGCGGCAGAUGAGAGAGCACAGGGAGAGCAUUCGGCUCUCCCAUUUGAAUAUGAGCUGCUCCUUCCCACCAUUUGUAAUAAUCCCAUUUUGUUAGUAAUCACUCAAUCAAAGAUGUUGGUGCUACUUGUGUAGCUUUUGGGAGAGAAGGAUUUUGAUAUGUGUUUCUUCUUCUCCAUUUGUUUCUUAGUUUGAGUGAGAGCUAUUGGGUGUAUGUGGGAUUUGGGUUUGAGUGUUGAACUCUAUUUGUAAUCUCCUUUUGAUAUUAAUGGAAUUUCCUCGCCGUCUCGGAACUGGAUGUAGGCUUACGCCAAACCAGUAUAAAAAUCCUUGUGUCUUUUGGAUUAUUUGUCUUGUCAUAUUUUGCCGUUAUUAGCUUUGAUUUCAUAUUUGAAGCUUCCGCACAACAAGUGGUAUCAAAGCUCCGGGUUUCGACUUGGAGGCUUUGUACUAGUAUGUCUAUGAAAUCUUCAAAUGACGGUGAAAUAUGUUUUUUGGAAAAAUUCGACUGGAGGAAUGACUUUGGCAUUUGGUCAAUUGGAGAUGCAGAGUUUGGCUGCAAAAUGCGUGGCGUUGAAGAAGGAUAGUAAGGGACUAUGCUGCAGUCAUUGAGCUUGCAGAUUGGAGAAUGGUUUCGGAAACAGCGUGUCUGCUGCAAUGUUGCCGUCGAUGUUGUUGAAGUGUUGGUGUUCGACAGCUGCAGAUGUAGUGUACUGCUUUUGGUGGGUUCUCUGUUGGUCAUCGCUGCACCGGAGGUGUUUGUGGGCUGUUGUCGACGAGUUGAGUGGGAAGGAGAAAAGGUAGAAGCAGUUGAAAAUUGAAAAGAAAAUGUUGGUUCUUUUUCUUUCGGCAUUUGUUUUGGCAGAAGGACAUCAUGAUGACAAAUGAUGUUGUUGGCUGGAAGAAAAGGGAAAAAGGCUAAGGCUAAGUUUUCUUUUCUUUGGCAUUUUUUCAACGGCAGAAAAUUUUUGGUUCUUUUUUCACUCCCAUUAGUUGCCUUUGGAGCAAGUUGAUGGAAACAUUGGAGGAGUUUGUGAGGGCCAAUUUGUUGAGUUCUGCAAGUUUGGAUAGUGAGGCACCACACUAUUUUGGAUACACCACAUGCACUGCAGAACAUUUGUGUGGAACCCUCUUGUAGAAGGCAAGUUAUAUGCUUUCUAACUUUGUUUGGUCUAUGGACAUUUAGUUGGAUUUGUUUGCCACUGCUAUUUGGUUUGUUGGUCUCCAUCAUCUGCAAUUAGUUUUCUUGAAGACUCCAGUUGAGGUAUGGUUUUGGAUCUCCUGCUGAUUAUUUGAAUUUGAAAUUUUUGGUUGUCCUGUUGGUGCUCAUGUGAUGAUGGUAAACUUGAGUGGAGGGCAUAGUUUUUUUGUAUGUGGUAUGUUAGACCUUGUUGCCAAAUUUGUAAUCAGUUUUGACUUGGAGAAUAUGCCGUGCUAUUUGAAUGAGUCUAUUGAUGCAGUUUAAGACCAUGGUGUUUGUAAGCAGGUGGAGUUCGUUCUGUGUCCAACUUUGGUAUGGUGUGCUUGAUCUUUUGUUAGUGAUAUUGAAGAAUUUCAGUUCUUCGUUUGAAUCACUUUUGUUUUGAUCAAGGCACUUAUGGUUUGCAAAUUUGGAGAAUACGGUAGAGAAAUGGUCUACUUUUGUUGGCUUUGGUAUAAUUUGAGUCGAGGUGGAGAUCAUUAUGAGUACCGGAAAGUUUGGGGAAUUUGAUUUAGUUCCCGUUGUCUUUAGUUUGUACUUUGGGUGAUUAUGGUGAUUGUUGAUUCGAUUCUCUGUGAUGGUUUCGGAACUUGGCCAAGGUGGAGAUUGUUGAAUUGUGGCCAAGUGGCCAUCAUCGGCUAAUAAACAAACAAAAGAAAAGAAAAAGAAAGACAAAAUGAUGAGGAAACAUCAUGAUGAGGAGGCAUCAUGAUUAUGCUUUCUUCUUUUGUGGUUUUUUAAUAACCAUAAUUAUUGUUUGUUUAUUAGCCGAAAGGUGAUGGCCACUUGGCCACAAUUCAACAAUCUCCACCUUGGCCAAGUUCCGAAACCAUCACAGAGAAUCGAAUCAACAAUCACCAUAAUCACCCAAAGUACAAACUAAAGACAACGGGAACUAAAUCAAAUUCCCCAAACUUUCCGAUACUCAUAAUGAUCUCCACCUUGACUCAAAUUGUACCAAAGCCAACAAAAGUAGACCACUUCUCUACCGUCUUCUCCAAAUUUAAAUCCUAUGAAGAAAGGGAGAGCUCAUUUUUUAGAAGAAAGCAGAUUGAAGAGAGAAGAGGAGAGAGAAGGUAGAACCUUUUGGUUAUAAAAGGCAUUCGAUUAUGCCUUUGGAUGUGGGGAGAGCGGCAGAUGAGAGAGCACAGGGAGAGCAUUCGGCUCUCCCAUUUGAAUAUGAGUUGCUCCUUCCCACCAUUUGUAAUAAUCCAAUUUUGUUAGUAAUCACUCAAUCAAAGAUGUUGGUGCUACUUGUGUAGCUUUUGGGAGAGAAGGAUUUUGAUAUGUGUUUCUUCUUCUCCAUUUGUUUCUUAGUUUGAGUGAGAGCUAUUGGGUGUAUGUGGGAUUUGGGUUUGAGUGUUGAACUCUAUUUGUAAUCUUCUUUUGAUAUUAGUGGAAUUUCCUCGCCGUCUCGGAACUGGAUGUAGGCUUAUGCCGAACCAGUAUAAAAAUCCUUGUGUCUUUUGGAUUAUUUGUCUUGUCAUAUUUUGCCAUUAUUAGCUUUGGUUUCAUAUUUGAAGCUUCAGCAAUACAAACAGUACAAGAUCAAUGAAUUCCUAUGAAUGAAUAAACUAAAGAAAUCGAAGAAAGAGAAUAACGAGAGAGAAAAGCUUUUCAUUUAUAUUGCUCUAACAGAAAAUGAUUACAUGAUAAAAAUCUAAGUCUCCAAAACAAUAAUUAUAUAGAGACUAGAAUGAGCAGAAUCACAAUAUUGCCUUUCUAACUAAUUCUUAUCUUCUAACAACCUCAACACUCACAAGCUUGACACUUGUCAUUUCUUACAACCACUCCUAACAAAUCCUAACUGUUUAUCUGGUUAAUAUAACGGAUGGCCGACGACCGACACCGAGAUUUUCCCAAACCUUGGUCCUUACUCUCGUAUAAAUUCGAAACGAACAGUAAACAAUUUUCUCGCAAUCGGAAGCACGGCAAACAUGGAUCUGAGAGAAAGCAUCAUCAACCAAAACGACGUCGCAAGGAGGCUGACGAAGCAGCUGGUUCAGACCGAAGGCAAGCAGUCGAACCUCGUGUACUCGCCGCUGUCCAUCCACGUGGUGCUGAGCCUGAUCGCAGCCGGGUCAAAGGGUCCCACCCAGGAGCAGCUGCUCUCAUUCCUCAAGUCAGAGUCCACCGACCACCUCAACUCCUUCGCCUCCCAGCUCCUGCCCUUUAUCUUCUCCGAUGGGUCCCCCGUGGGCGGCCCCAAGCUGGCGUUUGCGAAUGGCGUUUGGGUGCAGAAGCCUCUCCCUCUGAAGCCUUCCUUCAAGCAGGUGGUGGAAGCUUCUUACAGGGCCGCUCUCGUCCUAGUUGAUUUUCAGACCAAUGUAAGCUCCCAAACCCUCUGUCAUGUCGUUUCGAUUGUUUUUGUCGAUGCUGCUCAUGAUCAAAGUCUUUGGUUGUAAUUUCAGACCAAUGUUUCAAUGUCGAUGCUGCUGAUGCUCUUUUGUUCGUUACUGUUUUUGGUUGUAAUUGAUCGAGAUAUGCAGGUUGAUAUCAUUGUUUUCUAACUUGUCGUAACUGUUGUUGGUGCUCAAGGCUGCUCAAGUGGAGUCGGAAGUGAAUUCAUGGGCUGAAAAGGAGACGAGCGGCCUUAUCAAGGAUCUACUUCCUCCCGGGUCACUUGACAGCUUCACCAGGCUCAUCUUUACCAAUGCAUUAUACUUCAAGGGAGCUUGGAAUGAGAAAUUUGAUGCAACAGCUACAAAAGAGCAUGACUUCCACCUUCUCGACGGGAGCACAGUUAAGGCGCCCUUCAUGACCAACAAGAACCAGCAGUAUGUAAGUGCCUUUGACGGUUUCUCAGUCUUAGGGCUUCCUUACAAACAAGGUGAAGACAAGCGGCGCUUCUCCAUGCACAUCUUUCUUCCACAGGAGAAAGAUGGGCUGCCAGCUUUGGUUGAGAAACUUGGCUCUGAGUCCGGGUUUUUAGAUCGCUAUCUUCCCAAACAACCAGUUGCAGUGGGCGACUUCAGAAUCCCAAAGUUUAAGAUCUCAUUUGGGUUUGAAGCUUCCAAUGUCCUAAAGAGUCUGGGACUGGUGCUGCCUUUCGUGGGUGGAGGUCUGACAGAGAUGGUGGACUCGCCCGAGGGUAAGAAGCUAUAUGUUUCCAACAUAUUCCACAAGUCGUUCAUCGAAGUGAAUGAAGAAGGCACAGAAGCUGCAGCUGCUUCUGCCGGCGUUAUAAGUGAUAGGAGGAUGCCCAUGACAUUUGUGGCUGAUCGUCCGUUCCUCUUCACGAUCAGGGAAGAAACGACCGGAACAGUUCUGUUCAUCGGUAACCUGCUCAACCCUCUUGCCGGCUGAGUGUUACAAUCCCCUGGGAAAAGGCAUCAUGUGUACGUAGAAUAAUACGAGAGUAUAGUAAAUAAAAUGUAUGAUCCUUGUAUACAUGUGCUAGGUUUGGUUAUUACCUAAUCACCCUGUACUUGCCGCAGUUGGUCUUGUUUCUCCCAUGUGGCGAUUGUUGCUCGUUCUCCCAUGGCGUUUAUCUAUUUGUACAAUCUUGAUUCUGAAUACUUAUUUUAUGUUGUACUCUGUUUGAACAAUUAAAGUUUUAGCCGACUGCAAACGUCGGUUAAGUGUUAAAGUAUUUGGACAGGGAUUGUCUGCUUUUUCAUUUUUCGUGUCCUUCUGUUUUGUGUGUUCACAGUUAAACUACGUCAAUAUUUUAUAUUAUUUUUUUAUAGAAAUAAUAAGAUAAAAAUAAAUAAUAAUAUAAAAUAUUAACGUGACUUAACUGUAACCACACAAACAGGAGGGCACGGAAGACCACCGGAAGUGGAAGAGCGGACAUUCUUGUCCAAAGUAUUUAAUAUAUAGAAUGUACGAGUGCUAGUGCUGUACCAUAUACAUGGUUGGUGAUGAAAAGGAUUAAACUAUGAAUAUUCUAUAAAAUAUUAUUUACCCUAGGACGAGGAUUUUCUUUGGAUCUUCUUUACGAGGAUCUUAGGAAUUAAUUCAUUUUAACGGUUUAUUGUACAUCGUACGGUCAACUUUCGUUAGAUACUUUUUAUGUUUAAUUUUAAAUAAAUUCAAAAUAAUUUUUCACUGCAUGAUGCAUUGAUUCCUAAAGCACUCGCAAAGAGACUCCAGAUGUUUAGUUCUCCAUGACUGGAGAUGGCCUAAGAUGCUAAACACUUAACACUAACCAAUUUUUCCGGUUAGUUAAAUUGUUUAAUAAAUGCUAUCCACACUCUAAAAUAAUUGACCAUAUUUUCUUGACUCUUUUGUUAGAUUGCAUGAAAUAUUGUUCGAGUAAAUAAUCUCUCAAGUAUCACUCAGACUUCAUAAUGAUUUUGAUUUUGAUUACAUAGUAAGCAUGUCAUUAAGGUCAAAUUUUGAACAAACACCCAAUUACAUAGCACGCAUGUUAUUAUGGUGUAUGCUCAUUGUCACUUUCAAAACUUGACACCUGUCUACUAACAUAACCGAUGGCCGACGACCGACACCUUCCCAAACCUUGGUCCUUACCCUCGUAUAAAUUCGAAACGAACAGUAAACAAUUUUCUCGCAAUCGGAAGCACGGCAAACAUGGAUCUGAGAGAAAGCAUCAUCAACCAAAACGACGUCGCAAGGAGGCUGACGAAGCAGCUGGUUCAGACCGAAGGCAAGCAGUUGAACCUCGUGUACUCGCCGCUGUCCAUCCACGUGGUGCUGAGCCUGAUCACAGCCGGGUCAAAGGGUCCCACCCAGGAGCAGCUGCUCUCAUUCCUCAAGUCAAAGUCCACCGAUCACCUCAACUCCUUCGCCUCCCAGCUAGUGUCCGUGAUCUUCUCCGAUGGGUCCCCCGUGGGCGGCCCCAAGCUGGCGUUUGCGAAUGGGCUUUGGGUGCACAAGC